rnacentral:rRNA from 1 species
UAGUGGCGGACGGGUGAGUAACGCGUGAGCAACCUGCCUUACAGAGGGGGAUAACGUUUGGAAACGAACGCUAAUACCGCAUGAUAUAUAUCUGUGGCAUCACAGACAUAUCAAAGGAGCAAUCCGCUGAAAGAUGGGCUCGCGUCCGAUUAGCUAGUUGGUGGGGUAAAGGCCUACCAAGGCGACGAUCGGUAGCCGGACUGAGAGGUUGAACGGCCACAUUGGGACUGAGACACGGCCCAGACUCCUACGGGAGGCAGCAGUGGGGGAUAUUGCACAAUGGGGGAAACCCUGAUGCAGCAACGCCGCGUGAGGGAAGAAGGUUUUCGGAUUGUAAACCUCUGUCUUCGGUGAAGAAAAAAAUGACGGUAACCGAGGAGGAAGCCACGGCUAACUACGUGCCAGCAGCCGCGGUAAUACGUAGGUGGCAAGCGUUGUCCGGAAUUACUGGGUGUAAAGGGUGCGCAGGCGGGUAUUCAAGUCAGCUGUGAAAACUAUGGGCUCAACCCAUAGAUUGCAGCCGAAACUGUAUAUCUUGAGUGAAGUAGAGGUAAGCGGAAUUCCGAGUGUAGCGGUGAAAUGCGUAGAUAUUCGGAGGAACACCAGUGGCGAAGGCGGCUUACUGGGCUUUUACUGACGCUGAGGCACGAAAGCAUGGGGAGCAAACAGGAUUAGAUACCCUGGUAGUCCAUGCCGUAAACGAUGAUUACUAGGUGUGGGGGGACUGACCCCUUCCGUGCCGGAGUUAACACAAUAAGUAAUCCACCUGGGGAGUACGGUCGCAAGAUUGAAACUCAAAGGAAUUGACGGGGGCCCGCACAAGCAGUG